AUUGAACGCUGGCGGCAUGCUUUACACAUGCAAGUCGAACGGUAACAGGCCGCAAGGUGCUGACGAGUGGCGAACGGGUGAGUAAUGCAUCGGAACGUGCCCAGUCGUGGGGGAUAACUACUCGAAAGAGUAGCUAAUACCGCAUACGAUCUAUGGAUGAAAGCGGGGGACCGUAAGGCCUCGCGCGAUUGGAGCUGCCGAUGUCAGAUUAGGUAGUUGGUGGGGUAAAGGCUCACCAAGCCAACGAUCUGUAGCUGGUCUGAGAGGACGACCAGCCACACUGGGACUGAGACACGGCCCAGACUCCUACGGGAGGCAGCAGUGGGGAAUUUUGGACAAUGGGCGCAAGCCUGAUCCAGCAAUGCCGCGUGCAUGAAGAAGGCCUUCGGGUUGUAAACUGCUUUUGUACGGAAAGAAACGGCUCUGGUUAAUACCCGGGGCUAAUGACGGUACCGUAAGAAUAAGCACCGGCUAACUACGUG
rnacentral:rRNA from 1 species